GGAUAAAUGAACAGCCAUACUUCAAAAAAGGUUCAGUUUAUCCAAUAAACAUACCCUUCGGUGGGGGUAGAAUAUAUAAAGUUGGUGCAUUCACUCAACUAACUUGAAAAUGAACUCUACUAGGAGCCAAGGAAAUGUUGCAAUACACUAUACAUGCACUGCUUAUAGGCAUGACCUACGCGCCCCUCUACAGGUCUAUAUUUCAAAUUCAUCUUGUUUCCCAGUUGUAGGAACAUUGAGUACACACUGCUUACAUGCGUGACCUUGAAACUGAAGACGUAGAAGGAGCACUCAAGGGAAUGCCCUUUGUUGCUCUCUCUUCCAAGAACCUUGAGGGCUUGAAGAAAUUACCAUAUAGUUCUGACCACUUCUUAAGACUUCUAUAGAUAUGUCCAGCACCAACAGUGUCAGCCCAGAAAACAAUACCACCUCGGUAAGAUGGAAAACUCAUUCCAAGGACAGAUGUGACAUCAAGGUCAGAGGCUCGGACUACUAUCCCUUCAUCCAAAACACGACAUGCCUCAUUCACAACUGGAAAGAGUAUCAUCUCAACAAUUUCUUGAUCAGUGAUAGAUAUUGGCUUUCCUCCAGGCAUUAUGUUGGCGAGCCUUCUUGAUUCCUCAAUAAUUGGAAGCACAGUAAAAUCAGGUCUUGGUUUUCUUCCCUUCUCAUAAAUAUAGUAGCCUUUUCCGUUGUUUUUACCAUUUCUACCACUUUUUAUUAGAAGGUCGAUCAACGGAGACUUAAAAGUGCGAUCAGAAAAAGCAGAACGAAAUUCCUUCCCUACAGCAACAGCCACUCCAUAUCCUGUUAAAUCCUGAAGCUGGAAGGGACCCAUAGGGAGACCAAAGCUGGCAAUUUGUGUGUCAAUCCUGAAUACAUUCACUCCUAGAUUGACCAGAAUAUGUGCACCCUGGGAGUAGGGAAAGAAGGUUCUAUUGACAGCAAAACCAGUACAAUUUCCCACCACAACAGGUACUUUUUUAAUUGCCCUUCCAACAGCCAUAAGGUCAAGAAUUGCUUGGGCAGAUGUCUUCUCAGUUCGUACUAUCUCCAGCAAAGGCAUAAUGUGAGCAGGACUGAAAAAGUGGGCCCCGAUAAUCCGAUCCUUGGAUGUGGUAUUUUCUCCAAUAAUGUUGAGGUCAAUAGUAGAUGUGUUUGUUGCCAAAAUACAAUGUGGAGGACAUACCUUCUCAAUCUCGCUAAAUAUUUUCUGUUUUAGUGGAACAUUUUCAAUGACAGCCUCUAUGACC
rnacentral:misc_RNA from 1 species